rnacentral:rRNA from 1 species
GGACUACCGGGGUAUCUAAUCCUGUUUGCUCCCCAAGCCUACGUACCUCAACGUCAGUCUUCCUCAGAUUGUUGCUUUCGCUUUCGUUCUUCCCCCUAGUAUCCCUGUAUUUCACUUCUACUCUGUGAGUUCCACAAUCCUCUUCUCAACUCUAGCUCGAUGGUUGGCCCUAUCUACUUCACAGUUGCGCUGUUGCCUUGUGAUAGCUCCCUUCUCUUGCCGUCUACGUACCCCUUACGCCCAAUCACAAUGAAUAACACUCGCCCUCCCCGUUUUACCGCGGCGGCUGGCAC